rnacentral:pre_miRNA from 1 species
AGAGGUACUGAUGGAUCUCCCAGUAGGACUAUGUCCAAUUUUCUGAGGAACCACCAGACUGAUUUUCAGUGUGGUUGUACAAGCUUGCAAUCCCACCAGCAAU